CAUCUACUUCCAUUUGUAGCAAAAUUAUAUCUAUAGCAUAAUGUGAUGUAUUUAUUUCUAUGAAUAAUGUCUUUAAAAAUUUGACGCAAUAAAAAAUUGGCAUAGAAAUAAAUAUUUUCUUUAAGGCUUGAAAACAUAUUUUAGCUUCUUUGCUCUACUCAAAUUUAUUUUUACAUGUCAAAUAUAUAAGAAGAGCUGUAAUUUGAAAAAAGUUCUUAAUGAA
rnacentral:lncRNA from 1 species